rnacentral:rRNA from 1 species
GGCUAGCGUUGUUCGGAAUCACUGGGCGUAAAGCGUGCGUAGGCGGCCAUUCAAGUCAGAGGUGAAAGCCCAGGGCUCAACCCUGGAACUGCCUUUGAAACUAGAUGGCUGGAACACGGGAGAGGUGAGUGGAAUUCCGAGUGUAGAGGUGAAAUUCGUAGAUAUUCGGAAGAACACCAGUGGCGAAGGCGGCUCACUGGACCGUUGUUGACGCUGAGGCACGAAAGCGUGGGGAGCAAACAGGAUUAGAUACCCUGGUAGUCCACGCCGUAAACGAUGAUAACUAGCUGUUGGGGCU